rnacentral:rRNA from 1 species
GACGAACGCUGGCGGCGUGCUUAACACAUGCAAGUCGAACGAUGAAGCCCUUCGGGGUGGAUUAGUGGCGAACGGGUGAGUAACACGUGGGCAAUCUACCCUGCACUCUGGGACAAGCCCUGGAAACGGGGUAUAAUAACGGAUGACACCUGCCGAUGCAUAACGGCGGGUUGACAGCUCCGGCGGUGCAGGAUGAGCCCGCGGCCUAUCAGCUGGUUGGUGAGGUAACGGCUCACCAAGGCGACGACGGGUAGCCUGCCUGAGAGGGCGACCGGCCACACUGGGACUGAGACACGGCCCAGACUCCUACGGGAGGUAGCAGUGGGGAAUAUUGCACAAUGGGCGAAAGCCUGAUGCAGCGACGCCGCGUGAGGGAUGACGGCCUUCGGGUUGUAAACCUCUUUCAGCAGGGAAGAAGCGCAAGUGACGGUACCUGCAGAAGAAGCGCCGGCUAACUACGUGCCAGCAGCCGCGGUAACAC